GAUGAACGCUGGCGGCGCGCCUAACACAUGCAAGUCGGACGGUUCUUGCACCUUCAAGCUUGCUUGCUGGUGCAGGGAUAGUGGCGGACGGGUGAGUAACGCGUGAACAUCUACCCAUUGGAGGGGGACAACCCGUCGAAAGGCGGGCUAAUACCGCGUAAGCCGUGAGGUGAGAGGCUGCCUAUUGGUGGCCGCCGAUGGAUGGGUUCGCGUCCUAUCAGCUGGUUGGUGGGGUAACGGCCUACCAAGGCGAAGACGGGUAGCCGGUCUGAGAGGAUGGCCGGCCACACUGGAACUGAGACACGGUCCAGACUCCUACGGGAGGCAGCAGUGGGGAAUAUUGGGCAAUGGGGGUAACCCUGACCCAGCGACGCCGCGUGAGGGACGAAGGUUUUCGGAUCGUAAACCUCUGUUGUACGGGAAGAAGGAAUUGACGGUACCGUACGAGAAAGCCCCGGCAAACUACGUG
rnacentral:rRNA from 1 species